rnacentral:rRNA from 1 species
CGUAGGGUGCAAGCGUUAAUCGGAAUUACUGGGCGUAAAGCGUGCGCAGGCGGUUAUGUAAGACCGAUGUGAAAUGCCCGGGCUUAACCUGGGAACUGCAUUUGUGACUGCAUGGCUAGAGUUUGGCAGAGGGGGGUAGAAUUCCACGUGUAGCAGUGAAAUGCGUAGAUAUGUGGAGGAACACCGAUGGCGAAGGCAGCCCCCUGGGUCAAGACUGACGCUCAUGCACGAAAGCGUGGGGAGCAAACAGG